UGAGUACGAGACGCUAAGGCGUCGAAGUAGUGUAUGUCAUACUUCCAAGAAAAGCUUGCACUGUCAUAGAUAAAAAACGCCUGUACCAUAACCGACACAGGUGGGUAGGUAGAGUAUACUAAGGGGCGCGAGAUAACUCUCUCUAAGGAACUCGGCAAAAUAACUCCGUAACUUCGGGAGAAGGAGUGCCUUAUUCGUAAGGUUGCAAUAACAAGAUCCAAGCAACUGUUUAUCAAAAACACAGGUCUCCGCUAAGUCGUAAGACGAUGUAUGGGGGCUGACGCCUGCCCAGUGCCAGAAGGUUAAAGAAGUUGGUUAGCAAUUGCGAAGCUGGUAACUGAAGCCCUGGUGAACGGCGGCCGUAACCAUAACGGUCCUAAGGUAGCGAAAUUCCUUGUCGGGUAAGUUCCGACCCGCACGAAAGGCGUAAUGAUUUGGAUACUGUCUCGGAGAGGGGCUCGGUGAAAUAGACUUGUCUGUGAAGAUGCGGACUACCUGCACCAGGACAGAAAGACCCUAUGAAGCUUUACUGUAACUUGAAAUUGAAAUUGGACUUUAUUCGCGCAGUAUAGGUGGGAGGCGUUGAUUAUAAUCUCGUGGGAUUAUUGGAGCCAUUAGUGAGAUACCACUCUUGUAAUGUUAGAUUUCUAACUUUGAAUCAUUAUCUGGUCAAAGAACAGUUUCAGGCGGGCAGUUUGACUGGGGCGGUCGCCUCCCAAAUGGUAACGGAGGCGUACAAAGGUUUCCUCUGAACGGUUAGAAAUCGUAUCUAGAGUGUAAAGGCAUAAGGAAGCUUGACUGUGAGACCUACAAGUCGAGCAGGGACGAAAGUCGGUCUUAGUGAUCUGACGGUACUGAGUGGAAAGGCCGUCACUCAACGGAUAAAAGUUACUCUAAGGAUAACAGGCUGAUCUCCCCCAAGAGUUCACAUCGACGGGGAGGUUUGGCACCUCGAUGUCGGCUCAUCGCAUCCUGGGGCGGUAGUACGUCCCAAGGGUUAGGCUGUUCGCCCAUGAAAGCGGUACGCGAGCUGGGUUCAGAACGUCGUGAGACACUUCGGUCCAUAUCCGGUGUAGGCGUUAGAAUAUUGAGAGGAGCCUUCUUUAGUACGAGAGGACCGAGAAGGACAUACCUCUGGUGUACCAGUUAUCGUGCCAACGGUAAACGCUGGUAGCUAUGUAUGGAGUGGAUAACCGCUGAAAGUAUCUAAGUGGGAAGCCCACCUCAAGAUAAGUAUUCUCAC
rnacentral:rRNA from 1 species